rnacentral:lncRNA from 1 species
AUGACUAACAGAGCUUUCCCUUGUCCCUAUAAUGUUGACCAUAAGGUAAUAGCAUAGAGUAAUGGGACACAGAGUCCAAAUUGAACAUCUUAAGGCUUAUAUUAGCAAACUGGUUAAUAUGGACACAGCUGUGGUUGUCAUUCAAGCUUUAUUAAGCUGACAAAUGCCAGAUUCCAAAUAUAUGGGCAAUAUGAAUUGCAGCAAUAUAUACACAAUCAUUGCUUCAGACUUUUCUCUGGGACCAGAACUGCAGUACCCUAUAAUGACUAGUCUUUCUUUUAGUUUUCAAUCAAGAAAUGCCAAAAAGAUUGAUUAUAAAAUCUAAUAUAAUAUCUGAAACAGGAUUGUUAUACCCAGAUGGUUGGUGUUGGGUUCUGCCAUGGUAUAGUUACUUUAUAUCAUUUGAUAAUAAAAUAUCCAGAAUUUCAGGUAGUAGUGUCAGUCUACAGCAUUGUCAAAGAUUUUGAAGAUGUUUACAGUUUGAAGAACCCCACAUUGUUCAUUUUUUUGUUAAACAUGAUGCUGUAAUUCCUGAACAAAUCUCUUCCCUGACCCAGAGAUGAAAGAACACUGCUAAAAAAUUUUCUCAGGCAAAUUCAUGGAUUUGUGCAUCAGAAGAGAAAAGACUGUAAGUGUGAAGACAAACCUUAUGCUGAGGAGGCAAGAUAAAUCUAACAGAGUGGCUGAACCAAUACUUA